rnacentral:rRNA from 1 species
GAUGAACGCUGGCGGCGUGCCUAAUACAUGCAAGUCGAGCGAACAGACGAGGAGCUUGCUCCUCUGACGUUAGCGGCGGACGGGUGAGUAACACGUGGAUAACCUACCUAUAAGACUGGGAUAACUUCGGGAAACCGGAGCUAAUACCGGAUAAUAUAUUGAACCGCAUGGUUCAAUAGUGAAAGACGGUUUUGCUGUCACUUAUAGAUGGAUCCGCGCCGCAUUAGCUAGUUGGUAAGGUAACGGCUUACCAAGGCAACGAGGCGUAGCCGACCUGAGAGGGUGAUCGGCCACACUGGAACUGAGACACGGUCCAGACUCCUACGGGAGGCAGCAGUAGGGAAUCUUCCGCAAUGGGCGAAAGCCUGACGGAGCAACGCCGCGUGAGUGAUGAAGGUCUUCGGAUCGUAGAACUCUGUUAUUAGGGAAGAACAAAUGUGUAAGUAACUAUGCACGUCUUGACGGUACCUAAUCAGAAAGCCACGGCUAACUACGUG